GAUGAAGAACGCAGCGAAAUGCGAUAAGUAAUGUGAAUUGCAGAAUUCAGUGAAUCAUCGAAUCUUUGAACGCACAUUGCGCCCGCCAGUAUUCUGGCGGGCAUGCCUGUUCGAGCGUCAUUUCAACCAUCAAGCCCCAGGCUUGUGUUGGGGACCAGCGGCUGCCGCAGGCCCUGAAAACCAGUGGCGGGCUCGCUGUCACACCGGGCGUAGUAGAUUUUAUCUCGCUCAGGGCGUGCUGCGGGUUCCGGCCGUUAAAAAGCCUUUUUUACCCAAGGUUGACCUCGGAUCAGGUAGGAAGACCCGCUGAACUUAAGCAUAUCAAUAAGCGGAGGA
rnacentral:misc_RNA from 1 species